rnacentral:rRNA from 1 species
CCCUUAGACGUUCUGGGCCGCACGCGCGCUACACUGACCAGUGCAACAAGCAUCCGUCCUUGGCCGACAGGCUCGGGCAAUCUUUGAACGCUGGUCGUGAUGGGGAUAGACUUUUGCAAUUUUUGGUCUUCAACGAGGAAUUCCUAGUAAACGCAAGUCAUCAACUGGCAUUGAUUACGUCCCUGCCCUUUGUACACACCGCCCGUCGCACCUACCGAUUGAAUGGUCCGGUGAAGCCUCCGGAUUGGCGCGCACCUCGGUGCCGCCGAGAAGUUGGCUAAACCUUACCAUUUAGAGGAAGGUGAAGUCGUAACA